rnacentral:tRNA from 1 species
AGCAGUGUAGCUCAGUGGAAAGAGCACAGGCUUGGGAGUCCGAGGACAUGGGUUCUAAUCCCGGCUCUGCCA